GAAGCUGCGGCAGCGACACUAUGUGUUGUUGGGUAGGGGAGCGUUCUGUAAGCCUGUGAAGGUGUGUCGUGAGGCAUGCUGGAGGUAUCAGAAGUGCGAAUGCUGACAUAAGUAACGAUAAAGCGGGUGAAAAGCCCGCUCGCCGGAAGACCAAGGGUUCCUGUCCAACGUUAAUCGGGGCAGGGUGAGUCGACCCCUAAGGCGAGGCCGAAAGGCGUAGUCGAUGGGAAACGGGUUAAUAUUCCCGUACUUGGUGUUACUGCGAAGGGGGGACGGAGAAGGCUAUGUUGGCCGGGCGACGGUUGUCCCGGUUUAAGCGUGUAGGUGUGUGUUCCAGGUAAAUCCGGUUCACUUUAACACUGAGGCGUGAUGACGAGGCACUACGGUGCUG
rnacentral:rRNA from 1 species